rnacentral:rRNA from 1 species
GCCUAUCAGGUAGUAGUGGGUGUAAUGUACCUACUAGCCGACGACGGGUACGGGUUGUGAGAGCAAGAGCCCGGAGAUGGAUUCUGAGACAUGAAUCCAGGCCCUACGGGGCGCAGCAGGCGCUAAAACUUUACAAUGCGGGAAACCGCGAUAAGGGGACACCGAGUGCCAGCAUAUUAUGUUGGCUGUCCGCAUGUAUAAAUAACAUGUGUUAGCAAGGGCCGGGCAAGACCGGUGCCAGCCGCCGCGGUAACACCGGCGGCCCGAGUGGUAGCCGCUAUUAUUGGGUCUAAAGGGUCCGUAGCCGGUUUGAUCAGUCUUCCGGGAAAUCUGACAGCUUAACUGUUAGGCUUCCGGGGGAUACUGUCAGAC